ensembl:processed_transcript Tmem134 transmembrane protein 134
GGCGGGCCCUGUGAGGGCGGGCCCUGUUUGGUGGGCGGGGCCGUGGCGGGCUCAAAUGGCGGCGGCGCUGGGCGCCUAGGCCGGCGGGGGCCAUGAGCGCCGCCCGGCCCCAGUUUAGCAUCGAUGAUGCCUUCGAGCUGACCCUGGAGGACGCGGGGCCUGAGCCCGAGUCCAGCGGGGUCGCCCGCUUCGGGCCGCUGCACUUCGAACGCCGGGCUCGGUUCGAGGUGGCUGAUGAAGACAAGCAGUCCCGGCUACGCUACCAGAACCUGGAAAAUGAUGAGGACGGAGCCCAGGCCUCUCCGGAGCCGGAUGGGGGAGUCAGCACCAGGGAUUCUGGGCACAUGUCUGUCCGCAGCUCGCAGUGGUCCUUCAGCACCAUCAGCAGCAGCACACAGCGCUCCUACAACGCCUGCUGCAGCUGGACCCAACAUCCUUUGAUCCAGAAAAACCGCCGGGUAGUGCUGGCCUCCUUCCUGCUUCUGCUGUUGGGGCUAGGUGUCUCCAGUGCCAUCUUCUUUGUGCCGGGCAUCCUGCUGUUAGUCCCAGGAGUCUACCAUGUGAUCUUCAUCUACUGCGCUGUCAAGGGCCGCCGGGGCUUCCAAUUCUUCUACCUGCCCUACUUUGAGAAGUGAGCUGCAACUGGCCAGUGGCUCACCAGUGAUCCAAGGCCUCAGGUCACCUCCACGUGUCCACAGGGUAUUCCUCCAACCUACACCUGGUUCUGUUCCUUUCACCUGGAAGGCAGAGGCCCCUGGGACCCUCACAACCACCAGGCCCCUUUGAAUUUGCUCAGGAAGUUUAGAGCAUGCCAGCCUGGGAAUAUUGCCUCUUACCUGAUGUGUGCCUUAACUUAUUCCUGGGUUCUGGACUCCUGGGUUGGUGUAAUUUUGUGCUAAUAAAAGGGUAAUUAUUUCCAACAAGGACAGUUGCACUUUCCUGGGCCAGCAAGCCUGGCCCAGCACACUAACGACCACAGUCCCCUCCUACAGAGGGACUGUGUGUAAAGGACCCACCUAGAGCUCUAGAGGACCACCAACUUCCCAAGGACAACCUGGAUGGCCUCAGGUGUGCCCAUGGUCACCAUUAUGCCCAGGGCAGAGCUGGAUGAAGUAGUCCCACCCUGUCUGCCUUCAUCCCUGAGGAGAUUCAACACUGCCCCCUAGCCAAGGGCACCAAGAAGUGAUGCAGGCACCAGGCCUAGAGGCUGGUACCCUGGUUCCUGCCUGGCUCUGUAGCACUAGGCAGUCAUGACUGUCACUAAAUGUGGGUCAUGUGCCCCUCUACACACCCACUGCCCUAUUUUCUAGACCCAGAGGUUGGGAGAAGCAGGGAGAGGAGGGGGUAGGAUCACGGCUUCUCAGCCGAGCAGCACAGUAACAAGGCGAUGCUUAGAGCCACCAACUGUUUGAAACAGUUCAAGUUCUUAGAAAAUUGGGGCCGCUAAUAAUGUCUGAAACUUAAAUAAACAAAAAU